AUGGUGGAUCAGUUAACUCUCAUUUUAUAUAUAGGCUUAUGUUUGUAAUAUGUAUGCGCUAAUGCAGAACACAUAGACCCUGGAAUAAUCUUAUGCACAUGGAUCAUCAAGGACACGUUAAAAUCUGUGACUUCGGCCUGGCAAAGCAGAGCAUCUUUUAUGACGACCUAUCAACUGGCUGGGCCGGAACCCUGCAGUGGCCACAAUUUGUCUUUUAGACAUUUGAAAAGGUUCUCCUGUGCUGGGAAAGAAGAGUUACAGUUUUAUGGAGCAUUAAGUGCAGUACAUGGGAGCAGCAAAAUUCAUUAUUAGCUAUUGAACUAUUAACUAUAGGAGCUCUUCAUUAACUAUUAUUAUUCAAAAGGUGAAAAUAAAAUGUAUUUUCCUUUCUAGGAGAAGCUGGACCUGUGAGUGCAGAAGCUCAACCUUCAAAGCUAAACCCGCUCAGUAUCUCCAGUUACAACUUCUACUCUAAGUUGGGAGCAGGAGGAUACGGCAAAGUAAUGCUGGCUUCGUUAGGAGACCGGAGGCCAUAUGUGGCUGUAAAAUCUGUCAGCAAACAAGAGGCCCCAAAUUACAGCAACAUUCUCUCAGAGUCUCAAGUGCUGAACAUCGCCAGACACAGCCCAUUUCUUUGCCAAGGCUAUGCCGCUUUUCAAACCCAGUGGCAUGCCUUCUAUGUAAUGGAGUACCUGAGUGGGGGCAGCCUUGAGGAUGAGCUGAAGCUACACGGGACGCUGUCCAUGGACAGAGUACGGUAAGUAUUACAUGGCACUAGUACAAUAUGACUUAUAGAUAGCUUUAUACCAUUUGUGCCUAUAAGAAGGAUGGAUUAUAAAAUGUGUUCACUUUAGCACUAGGGAGCAGUGUCGGACUGGCCCACUGGGAUACCAGG